CGAGUAAGCCAGAUGGUCGCUGCUGCAGGUUACUGCAGGAGAGGAAAGUCCGAGCUCCAUAGGGCAGGGUGCUGGGUAAUACCCAGUGGAGGCGACUCUAAGGAAAGUGCAACAGAGAUAUACCGCCAGAAUCAGAUUUUCUGAUGAGUGCAGCUUUAGCUGCCUGGUAAGGAUGGAAAGGCGAGGUAAGAGCUCACCAGCGCAUUGGCGACUUUGCGGCUAUGUAAACCCCACUUGGAGCAAGAUCGAAUAGGGAGACAUAUGGGGCUGCCCGUCCCGUCUCCGGGUAAGAUCGCUUGAGCCUAAUGGUAACAUUAGGCCUAGAUAGAUGACCGUUUAAUACAGAACUCGGCUUAUAGACUUAGUCGCAUA
rnacentral:RNase_P_RNA from 1 species